UAACUUGAUCCACAAAUGAUGUAUUACCCUUGACUUUUCUUCUUGAAACACGAAGCUUCCCUUGAAGACCAUAAAGCGCUAGAGAACUAUUUGAAAACAACAAGCCUCCCUUGUAAUCAUACCUCAAACUUACGAAAGAACAACAUCAUCUCUUCUUCGCUUAUGUUUACCAAACAUCUUGGAUUUCCAUAACACUUGCCCCCACCUUUUGCUCAACUACACUUGACACACCACCUUUGUUUUCCUUCCCCGCCAAGAAACCACUCCAUCUAAACUUCAAACCUGAGCCCUUAGAUUAACUCCACAAACGCCGCAUCACUUAGAAUUCUUCAUGCAGUCAUCCCGACCAGAUUAACUUAAAACCUUCGUCUUCAAAAAUUUCCCUCUCCAACUAAAAAAUCUUUAGAAAUACCAACUCUAUCUUUAAUCCUUCAAACCUCAAAACACUCGUAGCUAGCCACACCAAUCCGCUAACCUUAUCUGAACUUACCAACUCACUGGCUUCUACCAUCCAUCAUUCCACAUCCACUUCUCUCUUGAUCAAACUCAGCCGAACACUAAACAUCACCAUAAAGCCUCACCUGAUGAAAACUAACUUUACCACAAUAUGCAACUUCAUAACUUUGAACACCUCCACCAACUCAAACUCUCUAGUCAUUUCCAAUACCCUCUCUCACAACUUAUACUGCAACCACCCUUUGUCAUCUGUUCUAAAACCUUUCUUCUUUGUUCCUCAUUCACUGUGCUCUUAAUUCUCUAUCCUCACCUUUUCUUGCCAAAUUGACAUCCUGAUAUACUCCUUUUAAUUAUCGCUUAACUCAAAACCUUUACGAUACUUCAAUUGUCUUCAAAGACUUCACGUUCUCUCAACUCUGAAAAUUCUGACUUCUAAUACACAGUCCAUAAAUCUGCUCUAUGUCUUACACAACUACUUCUUAAAUUCUUCUUCUUCUAAUUCCUUUCUAAAUAUUAUGUCCCUCUAGUCCACUACAAACUUCUCUUUCUUCCUUAACAUAAGCUUCAAACCGUUCACCACUUAUUUCCCUCAAAUCUCAAACAUCAUUGAUACACCGGUCCAAAUUUUCAAUCUCAUCCAAUGCCACUCCGUUUCUCACCAACACUUCCCUUUCUUCUGACCUCUAACGUUACUGAUAUACUGUACCAAACUGAUUUCUCAAACCUUGCUACACCCAUGCUUAUCCAAAGCUCCUCUUAUUCUAGCCUUCAAACCCAAAUCUUCUUGUGGAAUGUACGGUAUUUUAUCUUCUGACUCUGUUCUUGAACACUUCUUCACCCAAAACAUUUCUUCUAGACUCCAAUAUAUAUUCA
rnacentral:lncRNA from 1 species